GUCCAUGGCCGUGUGAUGAAUGAUCCCAUCUCCUUGGAAACCCAAAACAGAGAUCAAGGAAGCCUUAUCCAACUCAACGGAAGAAUCACCUGAGAGGAACUUUGCAGAACAACACACUCUGCUCACUCUCGACGAACCACUGAGUUGUAUCGGUCCCAAAAGGGGAACCAAACAUUUUAUUGCACUAUUGUGCUUUAACAAACUUUAUCUCUUCGGACUGAACGGAAUUGAGGACUGAGACAGAGAGAGAGCAGGUCCCUGCUAACUCUUAGCAACCUAUGGGUCGAUAUCUUUAAGUCUUAGAAAGAACAACAGGCUCAUAUGUGUGUGGGCUCCGACUGGGGAAGAAGCUUCUUUGGUUGCAAGCUCCAACGCCAGGACCACUGACCAUUUCCCUGUUUCAUCUCAGUCAGAACAGAAAUACAACUGAUCCAGACGACACUGACACUGACUCCGAAUGGGAGCCCCCAGUGCCAAGGUGUCCAUCCCCCACGGAAGCUGGUUCAUCCAGCUCCUGCCACAAGUGGUGUUCAUCUGCCCAAAUGCAUUUCUGCAGGCAUUGAUGUGCUAUGGCACCUGGCAUCAGCAGCACAAUAUUGUGUAGAGGACUGAGGGUCUUCCAAAUAUUGAAAGUCUUAUUUUGUAAAUGUAUAUAUAAACGUAUGGUUUUUUAAUUGUAUUGUCUAAACCAGAUCUAUUGUGUUAUAUUCUCCUACAUUCAAUUCACAUUUACACAAACGUCAGAGUGUUUUCUUUCAAAUGGUACCAAGAAUAAGCAUAUUCAGCAGGGUAGCCUAGUGGUUAGAGCAUUUGACUUGUAACCGGAAGGUUGCAAGUUCAAACCCACGAGCUGAAAAGGUACAAAUCUGUCAUUCUGCCCCUGAACAGGCAGUUAACCCACUGUUCCUAGGCCGUCAUUGAAAAUAAGAAUUUGUUCUUAAGCUCUUACUCCUACCCCCUACUUUUUCGAACAUUCUGUUAAAAAUCGUGCAACAUUUCAGCACCCUGCUACUCAUGCCAGGAAUAUAGUAUAUGCAUAUGAUUAGUAUGUGUGGAUAGAAAACACUCAGACGUUUAUAAAACUGGUUAAAUCACGGCUGUGACUAUAACAGAACGUGCGUUUCAUCGAAAAGCGCAGGAAAAUCUGAUCACUGAAAAUGGGAAAAUAUAUCCAUGCGCCACUUGAACGUAAUGUUGAAUAGAAACCACAUUAAAUGGGGCCGAGGUUGCAAUACCUACAGCUUCCACACGA